rnacentral:rRNA from 1 species
GACGAACGCUGGCGGCGUGCCUAAUACAUGCAAGUCGAACGCAGGGGGGACGGGUGAGUAACACGUGGGUAACCUCCCAUCAGAGGGGAUAAAACUUGGAAACAGGUGCUAAACCGAUACUGAUGGAUGGACCCGCGGUGCAUUAGCUAGUUGGGGAGGUAACGGCUCACCAAGGCCACGAGGCAUAGCCGACCUGAGGGGGUGAUCGGCCACACGUGGACGGAGACACGGCCCAGACUCCUCCGGUAGGCAGCAGUAGGGAAUUUUCGGCAAUGGACGAAAGUCUGAUCGAGCCACGCCGCGUGUGUGAAGAAGGUUUUCGGAUCUUAAAACUCUUUUGUGAGAGAAGCGGUAUCUAACCAGUAAGCCACGGCUAACUACGUGCCAGCAGCCGCGGUAAUAC